UCACCAAAUUUAACUGUAUUGUACGAUCUAAGUCCUUCAUCUCUCAUUCUCUCUCUCCAGCUGAGCUGACCUCUUUCAUCUCUGUCCGAGCAACAAGUGAAGGGAAGAAAGAUCAAAGAUGGAUAAGCCACUUUUGAGAGGGGAGAGUAGUAGUCGUGCGCCCAUUUUUCAUCGGAGGUCUGAUGCCAUUACCCAUGGCUCUAUUUACCAAAGAGCUGCUGCUCUUGUUGAUCUGGCAGAGGAUGGUGCUGGUCUACCAGAGGAGAUCCUUGAUGAGUCAAACUUUGAAACUUCAGCAAAAAUAUAUUUUGUUUAUAUUCGCUUCGAUUUUCUUUGGACGCUCAACUAUUUCGCAUUGAUAGUCUUGAAUUUUCUUGAGAAACCUUUGUGGUGCGGAAACUACAAUGAACACUCUUGUAAUGAUAGAGAUUUCUUUUACCUUGGUGAACUACCAUACUUAAAUGGUGUUGAAUCUCUUAUAUACGAGGGCAUAACUCUAUUAGUACUAUUUGUCCACAUUUUAUUUCCACUUGUGUAUGAAGGUUCACAUAUUUACUGGAAGAAGUCCCUAAAUAAAUUACAGGUUUUCCUCCUCAUUGUCCUGGCGGCGGAUAUAAUAAUAUUUGCGCUUUAUCUGUCGCCUUUGGCUUUCAGUUUUCUUCCUUUCAGGAUUGCUCCAUACAUACGGGUCCUCUUUUUCAUUCUUUAUAUUAGGGAAUUAAGAAGAAGUGUUAUUGUCCUUGUUGGGAUGCUUCCUACUUAUCUCAAUGUCUGGGCACUUACCCUUCUGUUUCUCUUGUUCUCAAGCUGGAUAGCUUAUGUCAUGUUUGAAGAUACCAAACAGGGGGCUGAAGUUUUUACAUCAUAUGGUACUACAUUGUAUCAGAUGUUUGUUCUAUUUACAACUUCCAACAAUCCUGAUGUGUGGAUUCCUGCAUACAAGGUUUCGCGUUGGUAUUCCCUGUUCUUUGUUCUAUACAUCUUACUGGGUGUCUACUUCGUCACAAACUUGAUUCUUGCCGUUGUGUAUGACAGCUUUAAAAGUGAGCUUGCAAAACAAGUUUUUGAGAUGGACAAUAUGAGGAAAAGUAUUUUGCUCAAGGCCUUCAAUCUAAUGGAUAGAUAUAAUCUUGGAUAUCUAAACAAAGAUCAGUGUCUUUGUCUAUUUGACGAAUUGAACAAAUACAGGACAUUGCCAAAAAUAUCGAAAGAAGACUUCGAAUUGAUAUUUGAUGAACUGGAUGAUAGUCAUGAUUUUAAGAUUAAUCCUGAGGAAUUUGAUGAUCUCUGUCAUGCCAUUGCACUAAAGUUUUCAAAGGAAGAUUGUCCAUCCUGUUUUGAGUCAAUUCCAUCAAUUUACUACUGUUCUUUCUCUGAAAAGUUGAAGACCUUUAUCCGGAGUGACACUUUCCGAAACAUUAUUGCUUUCAUCCUUGUGAUUAAUUUGAUAGCAGUGAUCAUCGAAACCACGCUUGAUAUAGCAGAUAAUUCAGCUCAGAAAGUGUGGCAGGUGGUAGAAUUUGUGUUUGGUUGGAUAUAUGUGCUUGAAAUGGCUCUAAAGAUCUAUGCAUAUGGUUUUGUGAAUUACUGGAGGGAUGGUCAAAAUCGCUUCGAUUUUGUCAUAACUUGUGUGAUAGUUGUUGGCGAAACAGCAACCUUCAUUUCACCUGAAGGUCAAAGUUUUCUUUCCAACGGAGAAUGGAUCCGUUAUCUUAUCCUUGCUAGAGUGUUACGUUUAAUAAGACUGCUGAUGCGAGUCAAGCGUUACCGAGCAUUUGUUGCAACAUUCUUGACUCUAAUCCCUAGCUUGAUGCCAUAUCUUGGGACUGUUUUUUGUGUCAUGUGCAUCUAUAGCUCUCUUGGUGUGCAGAUUUUUGGCGGGAUUGUGAAUGCAGGGAAUGCUUCAUUAGAAGGAACUGAUCUUGCUGACAGCGAUUAUUUUCUUUUCAACUUUAAUGACUAUCCCAAUGCAAUGGUGACAACAUUCAAUUUAGUAGUCAUGGGGAACUGGCAAGCCUGGAUGCAGACAUACAGCGCAUUGACGGGAACAUCUUGGACUCUGGUUUACUUUGUUAGCUUUUACCUCAUAUCAGUGAUGCUUAUCUUGAAUUUGAUUAUUGCGUUUGUGUUGGAAGCAUUCUUCUCAGAACUGGAGCUUGAGGAAUCAGAAGAAGAAGCUGAUGAAGAGAAGGAGAAAACAAAAACAGAUCGCCGCCGCCGCCGAUAUACUGGACAUAAAUCACGAAGCCAAAGAGUUGAUAUACUACUCCAUCGUAUCUUGAGUUCAGAGUUGGACAAAUCAGAAGACUGCGAGGAGGCAGCAUAGGUGUUUCCUUCACUCAAUCUUGCAUCCUUUCCAUUCCUUUUUCUUCCAAUGGGAUCGCUGUGGCUGGCUCUACAAUUGAAUCAUUGAUUGAACUUUGAACCACCUACAUUGACAUUGAAACUUCUUACCUGCGGGCUGUGCAUAAUGAAAAAUGUGGAAAGAUGUGAUGUGUGAAUGUCCAAUAAUGGUUCAACUAUUUUCUUUUACUUUUUCCAAUUUUUAACCGAAAUUUGUGUUACAUGCUGUUCCGUAUAGCUGUCAUUGUAUGGAGGUGUCUUCGCCUUGAGUGUUGUAAUUUCGAGAAUCGGCAUAGAGAUGAUUGUUCAUUACAACUUUGAAGUCUACUUAGAUUGAAGUUCAAUGUUCAUAAGUAUCCUAAAGUGAAAUUUGUGCUUUUUUUACUUA